UGUUAUACUGCUCUUAUUGUUGGGAAUUACAUCACCUCCAGAGGAUCCCGGGCUUGGCUCCUUAGGAAGCUUCAGCACACCAGCUCUGAGAAUCAGCAUACCCUAGUGUAAUUUUACUGAAGCCAGUGGAACUACACCGUUGUGAGCAUGGCCCAGCAUUUCAUCAGAAUGAUCUGCCCCUGAAUCCAGACAAAUUGAUCCAUUCUAGUGCUGUUUUGAUGCAUGGGGCUCAUGCUGGGAUUUGACCAACAUGAAGGAAUGUUGAAUAUCUGCUGAAUCUCUGAGCAGUGGUUUGAGUUGCUCUGCUCUGCUGCCUCCACCACAGCAACUCCACGAAGGGGAACGUUAUGCCCAAGGAUGCGAUCUCAUCAACUCCCUCAAAAGCAAGCUAACAAGCAAGUUGACCUCUACUGGACUGGGAGAGAAGCCUUUUCUCCCAGGAGUAUAGCCUUUC